rnacentral:rRNA from 1 species
UCGAGAAUUUUUCUCAAUGGGGGAAACCCUGAAGGAGCGACGCCGCGUGGGGGAUGAAGGGCUUCGGCCUGUAAACCCCUGUCAUUUGCGAACAAACCUUACGUUUAAAUAGAGCGUGAGCUGAUUGUAGCGAAAGAGGAAGGGACGGCUAACUCUGUGCCAGCAGCCGCGGUAAUACAGAGGUCCCGAGCGUUGUUCGGAUUCACUGGGCGUAAAGGGUGCGUAGGCGGUGGGGCCAGUUUGAUGUGAAAGCUCGCAGCUUAACUGCGAAAUGGCAUUGAAUACUGCUCUGCUAGAGGCUUGGAGGGGGGACUGGAAUACUUGGUGUAGCAGUGAAAUGCGUAGAUAUCAAGUGGAACACCAGUGGCGAAGGCGAGUCCCUGGACAAGUCCUGACGCUGAGGCACGAAAGCUAGGGGAGCAAACAG